rnacentral:rRNA from 1 species
UACCCUGGUAGUCCACGCCGUAAACGAUGUCGAUUUGGAGGUUGUGCCCUUGAGGCGUGGCUUCCGGAGCUAACGCGUUAAAUCGACCGCCUGGGGAGUACGGCCGCAAGGUUAAAACUCAAAUGAAUUGACGGGGGCCCGCACAAGCGGUGGAGCAUGUGGUUUAAUUCGAUGCAACGCGAAGAACCUUACCUGGUCUUGACAUCCACAGAACUUUCCAGAGAUGCUUUGGUGCCUUCGGGAACUGUGAGACAGGUGCUGCAUGGCUGUCGUCAGCUCGUGUUGUGAAAUGUUGGGUUAAGUCCCGCAACGAGCGCAACCCUUAUCCUUUGUUGCCAGCGGUUAGGCCGGGAACUCAAAGGAGACUGCCAGUGAUAAACUGGAGGAAGGUGGGGAUGACGUCAAGUCAUCAUGGCCCUUACGACCAGGGCUACACACGUGCUACAAUGGCGCAUACAAAGAGAAGCGACCUCGCGAGAGCAAGCGGACCUCAUAAAGUGCGUCGUAGUCCGGAUUGGAGUCUGCAACUCGACUCCAUGAAGUCGGAAUCGCAGUAAUCGUAGAUUCAGAAUGCUACGGUGAAUACGUUCCCGGGCCUUGUACACACCGCCCGUCACACCAUGGGAGUGGGUUGCAAAAGAAGUA